UACGAAGGGUGCUAGCGUUGUUCGGAUUUACUGGGCGUAAAGCGCACGUAGGCGGAUCUUUAAGUCAGAGGUGAAAUCCCAAGGCUCAACCUUGGAACUGCCUUUGAUACUGGGGAUCUUGAGUCCGGGAGAGGUGAGUGGAACUGCGAGUGUAGAGGUGAAAUUCGUAGAUAUUCGCAAGAACACCAGUGGCGAAGGCGGCUCACUGGCCCGGUACUGACGCUGAGGUGCGAAAGCGUGGGGAGCAGACAGG
rnacentral:rRNA from 1 species